rnacentral:lncRNA from 1 species
UUAUUUUCAUCAAACCAAAUGUUCUACAUUCAUAUCUCCUUCAUCUUACCAAAUAUUAUUCAUACCUUCAACCAUUCUCGUCAAACCAAAUCUACUACAUUUAUAUCUUUACUUAUUUUCAUCAAAUCAAAUAUUCUACAAUCAUAUCUCCUUCAUCUUACCAAAUAUUAUUCACAUCUUCAACCAUUCUCAUCAAACCAAAUCUACUACAUUUAUAUCUUUACUUAUUUUCA